rnacentral:rRNA from 1 species
CCUACGGUAGGCAGCAGUGAGGAAUAUUGGUCAAUGGACGAGAGUCUGAACCAGCCAAUUAGCGUGAAGGAUGACUGCCCUAUGGGUUGUAAACUUCUUUUAUAUUGUAAGAAAACGGUCCACGUGUGGGUGUUGGAGAGUACCUGCAGAAAAAGCAUCGGCUAAAUCCGUGCCAGCAGGCGCGGUAAUACGGGGGAUGCGAUCUUUGUCCGGAUUUAUUGGGUUUAAAGGGUGCGUAGGCGGGUUAGCAAGUCAGCGGUAAAAUCGUGGAGCUCAACUCCAUCCAGCCGUUGAAACUGAUGAUCUUGAGUGGGCGAGAAGUAUGCGGAAUGCGUGGUGUAGCGGUGAAAUGCAUAGAUAUCACGCAGAACUCCGAUUGCGAAGGCAGCAUACCGGCGCCCGACUGACGCUGAAGCACGAAAGCGUGGGUAUCGAACAGGAUUAGAUACCCGAGUAGUC